rnacentral:rRNA from 1 species
UGGGGAAUAUUGGACAAUGGGCGCAAGCCUGAUCCAGCCAUGCCGCGUGUGUGAAGAAGGCCUUUUGGUUGUAAAGCACUUUAAGCGAGGAGGAGGCUACUUGGAUUAAUACUCUAGGAUAGUGGACGUUACUCGCAGAAUAAGCACCGGCUAACUCUGUGCCAGCAGCCGCGGUAAUACAGAGGGUGCGAGCGUUAAUCAGAUUUACUGGGCGUAAAGCGUGCGUAGGCGGCUUCUUAAGUCGGAUGUGAAAUCCCUGAGCUUAACUUAGGAAUUGCAUUCGAUACUGGGAAGCUAGAGUAUGGGAGAGGAUGGUAGAAUUCCAGGUGUAGCGGUGAAAUGCGUAGAGAUCUGGAGGAAUACCGAUGGCGAAGGCAGCCAUCUGGCCUAAUACUGACGCUGAGGUACGAAAGCAUGGGGAGCAAACAGG